CGGGGGUGGUGGCACAGCGGAGUGCGGGAUGGGGACAGGGGACAGCCAUGGGGAGCAGAAGGUUCGUGCCGGUGCGGGGGAACGGACGCGCAGCGAUGUGAGGGGCGGUGCGAGGGGCCGGGACACCGCGCUGCCGGCGCUGCCGAGCCCCGCGUCAGCGCCUGCUCUGUUCCGAGGCAGCGUUUACACCGCGUACCGGGCUCUGACGGACUUGGCAGCAUGGAUCAUCCCGCCCCUCUGCUUUAUGGAACUGGGACUGGCAGGAAUGACACCAGGCAGCAGCAUGUUGUUACAGCUUCCGUCAUCUCCCGUGUGUGUGACGGCACCGGCCUCUCUCCGUGACUGCAGCCCUUGAGUGCGUGGGCCGGAGAAACAGUAAAACUUGACCAUCCUGCAUCAUCUUCAAAGUACUAAYGUACCCAGUCCAGACUCAGGAUGUGCUGCAGGAACCCUCCGGGUCUGACUGCUAGAGAUAAAGCAACYGGAUAAAUCUACUUGGAUGAUAAACAAUUCAAGUGGUUAAUCUGGGUUCAAAGUCUCUCUGCAGGUGAAAUGCCUCCUGUCCCUCAKGUGGCUCAGCAGAUUAGCCAGGAGGAAAGCCAGCAGCAAAAUUGACCAAAUUUGUCAAGUUUGUGUAAUUCCUUACAUGCUCCACACAGCAAGAAGCCAGCUCUGCCCCAGCAGGUACAACCAGCAGGCUGGGAUAAGAAGUAUGUGCUUGUGGUCCCAUCUCCAGUUCCCUCAUGACAACAGGAAAAUGAAAUUCUGCAGCGAAUAACUGCGCUGAGGAAAGAAGGUUUAUGGUCUCUGAAACAUCUGCCCAACUCCAUGAGGCCCCACGGCACAAAUCACGUCAUGAUUAUCUUUUGGAAGAAAUGCAGUGCAUGGCAACUGAUUUUGUUCAAGAAAGAAGAUGGAAGAUGAUAACUGGCAACAGAGUAAUGUGAAUUUGACAUUUUCAGCCAGGAAAGGGGGGAAGAAUAGGCAGCAUUUUCAAGCAUGCAGUCUGUCUCUCUUCAGUGUGAUUGGAAUGGAAAACCAAAUUAUUUGCUAUGAAGCACGAAUACUGCCAGGACUGAAGGUAGCUAGAAAGCUUAUUGAAGACAUCCACUGCUCUCUUUCAUCACCCAGACUUGAGCCAGGGAAGCUCAAAUCAAAUAGCUUUGUAUUUUGCAUAAGCUUUAUCUGAUCACAAUAGAUUCAGAAUUUAAAGGGUGUCCCAGAAGAAAAAAGACAACUAAAGGAACACCUGGACCAAAUAUACUCUUGGAAUGAGUGUCAUUGUUCCAGAAUCCCCCURUAUGGCAGAGUCCUGUUGGAAACUUGCUCUUGGAUCAGUGAAAGAAAUAUCUCUCAGCAUUGUUCUGGCAGGAUUAACAAGUGGCACUGGGUUGGCAAUUUGCAAAUUGCCUUUCAUAUUCCAGCAGUUCAGAGGUUCCAAAGGAUCCAUUGCAGGAACUCAUUCUGACAGUGAAGCAGCAACUGAUUGCYCUGAAGGAUGUUAUUGCAAGCAAAUCCUCCUGACACAUUUACCCAUGGAAUGAAGCUCUUGAAGAUCAGUCUYAAGGAACAGAUGCUUCCCUACUUCCACUCAAUGCAGCAGAUAGCAGGGCCUUGUUUUCUCCAGUUUCCAGAUCCCUGACUGGUGAUUCAGGCAAGCUGGGACCUCUGGCUACCCUGCUUUGGAAGCUGAAAGCAGAAGGGCAGUGAGUGCUGAKUUUGACACAGAUGAUCCUGGAGCUUUUGCUGAACUUCCAUUUCCUCACAUGAGUAUAAGAUUUAGGGAGAGUGGUGCUCACAGCUGGCAUUAUCUGGAAUUUAUAAAAAGCUUCAACCAGGACAAGUGAUUCUUCUAUGCCAUCYUUUCUUCCCAUGCUCUUUCCACAGGUGUCAGUCACACAGAUGUGAUUACUGUUAUCUUCUAUGGUACUGAUUGAGAUCUGCUGAUGGACACAAAGACUAAGGGAUGGGGUGACAAAAUUGCAAGAGGCAGAGAUGUCCACAUAUACAGRUGAAUUUCAUGCUAAGAAAUUGGUGUUAUAAAAUGAAAUAUAGAGAGAGAAUGGUUUGGGAUGAAACUAGGAUUUUUGGUUGAGGUCAUUCUUCUAGUUUAAGUUAACUUCAUCUUUUAAGACCCCUUCAAAGAUUAUAUCAUGCAUCUGAAAAAGAGUAUUUAACAUUUGAUUCAAGAACUGACUGCUCAGGGAGGGAAUUGUUCAACAGACCUUUUAUCUCAGGUACUGUAACAUUAAGAAUGUGAGCAGUUAUAUGAUGAUACAUAAAAAAUAAGUGUUUUAUUAGAUCCGAGUUAGAAUUUUGAGCAGGUAGUGGUAUAUCUAUUUCUASACUUGUUUGGGAACCAGUUAUAGGUGUUCACAGGUAAAUUCAGUAGAAGUCCUGAAUUGUCAGCACAUAUUGAAAAUCAGAAGGUAACAGUUUCAGUAAUAAAACUUCGCUUGUUUCAA